UCUUUAAAGCAGUGUCUGCUGUGCUGCAACAAUAGCCAGGAACAGCAUGGUGUGGCCAUUUCUUGUCUCAAACAGCUGAGGAACAAGGCUUGUGACAUUCUGGCCAUUGAUAAGUCCCUGGCACCAGUCACCCUGCCUGGCAGACGAUGUCACUAUAGCGGAUGACAAUGAUUACUUCCUGUGUCUUCCUACCAAUACUAAGUUUGUGGCUUGGCUGGGAAUGAGAAGUGGACACACAAUUCAGAUGGAGGUACAGCUUGGAUUACCCAGGAAUCCUUCAACAGAGGUGAAACAGCAGGGCAGGGUUGAAGUGGAAGAACGUGACCAGGCAGCUGAAGGAAGACCUAUCCAGUAUCAUCCUGCUGUCUGAGGAGGAGCUCCAGAUGCUCAUUAAUGUCCUGUGUUUGGAGCUGGCUCAGGAACUCGGCCAAAGUCAUGUGGCAGUCCAGGGGCUCCAGCAGGUGCUUGACCAGAAAGAGGAAGCCCGUCAAUCCAGGCAGCUCCUGGGACUUUACCUCUGGGCUUUGGAGAAGGAAGGUAGCAUCUUAUUGAAGCAGCAAGAGUCCAGAACUGACCUCAGGGACAAGAGGGAAGUUGUUGACAUGAGUGUUAGAGAGAGCUCCUCCAAAGUUACACCUGCGAGCCAGAUCCUCUUGGAGCUAAAGGAGAAACCUGCCCCAGAGCUGAGUUUGUCUAGUGAGGAUCUGGAGGUGGGCGAGCACCAGGGACCCUGA
rnacentral:lncRNA from 1 species